rnacentral:rRNA from 1 species
CAGAUCAGCAUGCUGCGGUGAGUACGUUCCCGGGUCUUGUACACACCGCCCGUCCACACCACGAGAGUUUACAACACCCGAAGUCAGUGGCCUAACCGCAAGGAGGGAGCUGCCUAAGGUGGGGUAGAUGAUUGGGGUGAAGUCGUAACAAGGUAUC